UACGUAGGGGGCAAGCGUUGUCCGGAAUCAUUGGGCGUAAAGAGCGUGUAGGCGGCCUGAUAAGUCGGCUGUGAAAGUCAAGGGCUCAACCCUUGAAUGCCGGCCGAUACUGUCAGGCUAGAAUCCGGAAGAGGCGAGUGGAAUUCCUGGUGUAGCGGUGAAAUGCGCAGAUAUCAGGAGGAACACCUAUGGCGAAGGCAGCUCGCUGGGACGGUAUUGACGCUGAGGCGCGAAAGCUAGGGGAGCAAACGGG
rnacentral:rRNA from 1 species